rnacentral:tRNA from 1 species
GCCGCCAUGGUGAAAUCGGUAAACACGCUGCUCUU